rfam:Trichobilharzia regenti genome assembly, scaffold: TRE_scaffold0016481
AUCCAGAUGACGAGUCUUAAAUAAGACUAAAUGCUCAUUGUCCUGGAU